UGGAAGUAAAAGUCGUAACAAGGUUUCCGUAGGUGAACCUGCGGAAGGAUCAUUAACGCGCAGGCCGGAGGCUGGCCCCCCACGAUAGGGACCGACGUUCCAUCAGGGGUGAGCAGACGUGCGCCGGCCGUACGCCCCCAUUCUUGUCUACCUCACCCGGUUGCCUCGGCGGGCCGCGCUCCCCCUGCCAGGGAGAGCCGUCCGGCGGGCCCCUUCUGGGGGCCUCGAGCCGGACCGCGCCCGCCGGAGGACAGACACCAAGAAAAAAUUCUCUGAAGAGCUGUCAGUCUGAGCGUUUAGCAAGCACAAUCAGUUAAAACUUUCAACAACGGAUCUCUUGGUUCCGGCAUCGAUGAAGAACGCAGCGAAAUGCGAUAAGUAAUGUGAAUUGCAGAAUUCCGUGAAUCAUCGAAUCUUUGAACGCACAUUGCGCCCUCUGGCAUUCCGGGGGGCAUGCCUGUUCGAGCGUCAUUUCAACCCCUCAAGCCCGGCUUGUGUGAUGGACGACCGUCCGGCCCCUCCCUUCGGGGGCGGGACGCGCCCGAAAAGCAGUGGCCAGGCCGCGAUUCCGGCUUCCUGGGCGAAUGGGCAGCCAAACCAGCGCCCUCAGGACCGGCCGCCCUGGCCCCAAUCUUUAUAUAUAUAUAUAUAUAUAUCUUUUCAGGUUGACCUCGGAUCAGGUAGGGAUACCCGCUGAACUUAAGCAUAUCAAUAAGCGGAGGAA
rnacentral:misc_RNA from 1 species